rnacentral:rRNA from 1 species
GAAAUCCCGUUUGAAUCCGCGAGGACCAUCUCGCAAGGCUAAAUACUAACCAGUGACCGAUAGUGAACCAGUACCGUGAGGGAAAGGUGAAAAGAACCCCGGGAGGGGAGUGAAAGAGAACCUGAAACCGUGUGCCUACAAGUAGUCAGAGCCCGUUAACGGGUAAUGGCGUGCCUUUUGUAGAAUGAACCGGCGAGUUGCGUUAGUCAGCAAGGUUAAGUCAGAAAAGACGGAGCCGUAGCGAAAGCGAGUCUGAAGAGGGCGAGCAGUUGGCUGACGCAGACCCGAAACCAAGUGACCUACCCAUGACCAGGUUGAAGGC